UCGAAACAACACCCUUUCCUUGAGAUGCUUGCUGGCCUCCGGGCAUGUGCACUCUCUUGGGUUAGUUUUGUGAACCACACACACACACCUGUGCACUUUUUGUAGGCUGGCCUCUUCAUCGAGGUUGGCCUAUGUCAUGUUUACACACCACUUUGAAUGUAUUUGUUGGUUUGGAUACAAAAAUAAAAAAAAA
rnacentral:misc_RNA from 1 species